GAUAAAGCUUGAAGACGUUUAGCUCCACCAACGUCGAUAGCGAGCUUUCUGGAAGCUGUAUGAAAACCAACUUUACAGCACAAAGCCAGUACUAGCAAUAAUACUCCACCCUGUGAGUAAAAUUAGGCUUCUAGUUUUCCACAAGACUUGAAACAACUCUGAUCCAUUCCAAAAGGAUACGGUGUUCAGCCAUUUUAGCCAUGAGAUCAUCAUUGUCAAAAAGCAAUAAACAGAUCACAGCAAUAAUGAAAAAAGCAGCUCCCCUUGUCUGAAAAUAAAGAAAAUAACAUCAA